UUAUUCCUACGGGGGGCAGCAGUAGGGAAUUUUCGUCAAUGGGCGCAAGCCUGAACGAGCAAUGCCGCGUGAACGAGGAAGGUCUUCGGAUCGUAAAGUUCUGUUGAAGGGGAAAAAGAGCGGAGAGAGGAAAGGGACUCCGAUUGAUAUUACCCUUCGAGGAAGUCACGGCUAACUACGUGCCAGCAGCCGCGGUAAUACGUAGGUGGCGAGCGUUAUCGGGAAUGAUUGGG
rnacentral:rRNA from 1 species